ACGAAGCUCUCCCCGCCGAAGUCGGCCGUCGCCGCCUUCCGCUUCUUCUCCAGCUCCCUCUUCAGAAGAUCCAUCGGUCCGGGCCUCCGGAGACGGGACACCCCGAGCCCUCCUCCGCGCUCUCGCCGUUUCCCGCGGAGAUAGGCGGCGGCGGCGGCGGCGCGGCUCACAAUUUGGAAGGACGCCGCCGCCAACAGCGAAGAGAAGAAGAAACGGGAACCCGCAACCCGAU
rnacentral:lncRNA from 1 species